CCUACGGGUGGCUGCAGUGGGGAAUAUUGCACAAUGGGCGAAACCCUGAUGCAGCGACGCCGCGUGAGUGAAGAAGUAACUCUUUAUGUAAAGCUCUAUCAGCAGGGAAGAAAAUGACGGUACCUGAGUAAGAAGCCCCGGCCAACGACGUGCAAGCAGCCGCUGUAAUACGUAGGGGGCAAGCGGUAUCCGGAUUUACUGGGUGGUAAGGGAGCGUAGACGGCAGUGCAAGGCUGGAGGGAAAGGCGGGGGCUCAACCCCCGGACUGCUCUGGAAACUGUACGGCUGGAGUGCAGGAGAGGUAAGUGGAAUUCGUAGUGUAGCGGUGAAAUGCGUAGAUAUUAGGAGGAACACCAGUGGCGAAGGCGGCUUACCGGACUGUAACUGACGUUGAGGCUCGAAAGCGUGGGGAGCAAACAGGAUUAGAUACCCUAGUAGUC
rnacentral:rRNA from 1 species